rnacentral:rRNA from 1 species
AACGAACGCUGGCGGCAGGCUUAACACAUGCAAGUCGAGCGCCCCGCAAGGGGAGCGGCAGACGGGUGAGUAACGCGUGGGAAUCUACCCAUCUCUACGGAAUAACGCAUGGAAACGUGUGCUAAUACCGUAUACGUCCUUCGGGAGAAAGAUUUAUCGGAGGUGGAUGAGCCCGCGUUGGAUUAGCUAGUUGGUGGGGUAAAGGACUACCAAGGCGACGAUCCAUAGCUGGUCUGAGAGGAUGAUCAGCCACACUGGGACUGAGACACGGCCCAGACUCCUACGGGAGGCAGCAGUGGGGAAUAUUGGACAAUGGGCGCAAGCCUGAUCCAGCCAUGCCGCGUGAGUGAUGAAGGCCCUAGGGUUGUAAAGCUCUUUCACCGGUGAAGAUAAUGACGGUAACCGGAGAAGAAGCCCCGGCUAACUUCGUGCCAGCCGCCGCAGUAAGAC